rnacentral:lncRNA from 1 species
UCCUCAUGGCUACUAGUCUGGGUCGUUGCCGCCGCACCACAACGGCAACCCUCGUAUUACCUUCUUUUUACAGCUGCACCCAGCGGGAGAGACAGGGUGGCCACGGUGGUUCCAUCUCACUCAAAAUGGGAACGCAGGAGACGCCAAAGCAAAAGAACCACCAGGAACCCCUGUUCUGGAUUCGCUAACUCCGCAGAACUGCCACACAGGCUUUCUCUUUACUGAGGCGCGUGUGGUUGAGGCGCCUUUUACUCGGGACCACUUGCAGGUCGGCUACAGGCACCCUGACAGUUCACCUGGCCACGUCCUCGUGCCUCCCGGGAGGAGGGGUCUGCUCGGCAGCAGUCGGCACUCGGAGCCCCCGUCGGUGUCCACGCGCCACCCUCCUUCCGUGCACCUGCAGGGUUGUACGGACUAGAAGCCAGAAGGUUCCAGGUGCUUCCUCAGCUGCUCUGAGUGAAUCAGCGCCCCCUCCUCUCUCUCUCACCCUUGCGUCUUAUGCUGUGGUUGGUUUGUAAUUUAAUCUCAUGUAUUAGGAAACGUCUUCAUUCCUAAACUUUGUCAUCAUUAUCAUCUGCAGUCUGUUUGCAGAUUUCCCCAGGGGUUUGCCGAAUCUCCCGCCCUGCUUGCUUUCUUGCUUCUCUGACCUUCUAUCUGGGACCAGACUCUCCGCCCAGAGGGCAUCCUUCGGCAAGCCUGCUACCGUAAACUCUGUCUCUCUCCGUUUGAGUGAAGACUUAUUUUAGGUCGGCAACUGUAUAACCUAUUGCUGUUGCAAGAAGUUGCCACAAAUUAAAGCAACACAGAUUUAGCACCUUGCAGUUCUGCAGUCUUGUUGGGCUAAAAUCCAGGCUGGCUCCUGGAAGCUCUGGGGGGCAAUUUAUUUCCUCGCUUUUUCUAGAGGCACCUGUAUGUCUCAGCUCCUGGCCGCUCCUGCCAUCUUCCAAGUCAGGGCGCGGUAUCUUCUAAUCUCUGUCUCACACCACUGCCUCCCUCUUACAAGGAUGCUUGUGGUGACAGUGGGCCCAUCCCGAUAAUCUGGGCUGGGCCUGGAUCUCAAGGCCUUUCAUUUAAUCGCAUCUUCCAGAGGGAGCCCAGCACACGUUGCAAGUGUCCUGGGCCUGGCCCUGGUGGGCUGGACGCACCAAUGGGAGGGUCGGGAGGCAAGAACAGGAUGCUGAAGUGGUGAUGGGGUGUGUGGUGUGCAGAGCGCUGGCUCAGGCGUGCAGGUUUUGGGUUAAAGAUUGGGCUUUUCAGGAGUUCCCAUUGUGGCUCAGCAGCUUAAGGACCUGAUGUUGUCUCUGUGAGGAUGCAGGUCCCAUCCCUGGCCUUGCUCAGUGGGUUAAGGAUCCAGUGUUGCCACAAGCUGUGGCACAGGUCACAGCUGCAGCUACAAUUUGACCCCAGUCCUGGGAACU